AUGAAACCUAGGGCUUCAAUUUCUGAAACCCCAAGUUCUACACUCGUCGUUGUUGGGCUCUUCAAUCCGCCAAAACAACUUCACUCAAUUGCUCCACCUUGCUUUUCUCAACUCACCAUCGAUUCACGCUCCUUCAUCAUCUGCUUAUCCAAUCCGCAGCUUUUCUUCCUCCAAGACCACCAAACAAAGCUGUAA